rnacentral:pre_miRNA from 1 species
GCGUGUAGUGCCCUCCCUCAGAGAGUUUCAAUCAUUUAUCUUUGGACAUGAUUGCAGCAUCUGAGGGAGAGUAAUACAUGA